rnacentral:rRNA from 1 species
AUUGAACGCUGGCGGCAGGCCUAACACAUGCAAGUCGAACGCGUGGCGGCCGGGUGAGUAAUGUCUGGGAAACUGCCUGAUGGGGGGGGAUCACUACUGGAAACGGUAGCUAAUACCGCAUACUAUCAUGUGUGCCGAGAUGGGAUUAGCUUGUUGGUGGGGUAAAGGCUCACCAAGGCGACGAUCCCUAGCUGGUCUUAGAGGAUGACCAGCCCAACUGGAAAUGGGACAAGGUCCAGACUCCUACGGGAGGCAGCAGUGGGGAAUAUUGCACAAUGGGCGCAAGCCUGAUGCAGCCAUGCCGCGUGUAUGAAGAAGGCCUUCGGGUUGUAAAGUACUUUCAGCGGGGAGGCGUUACCCGCAGAAGAAGCACCGGCUAACUCCGUGCCAGCAGCCGCGGUAAUUC